CCUACGGGAGGCAGCAGUGAGGAAUAUUGGUCAAUGGGCGCGAGCCUGAACCAGCCAAGCAGCGUGAAGGAUGACUGCUCUACGGGCUGUAAACUUCUUUUAUAAAGGAAUAAAUUGAGGCACGUGAGCCUUUUUGUAUGGACUUUAUGAAUAAGGAUCGGCUAACUCUGUGCCAGCAGCCGCGGUAAUACGGAGGAGCCGAGCGUUAUGCGGAUUUAUUGGGUUUAAAGGGAGCGUAGAUGGGUUGUUAAGUCAGUUGUGAAAGUUUACGGCUCAACCGUAAAAUUGCAAUUGAUACUGGCAGUCUUGAGUACAGGUGAGGUAGGCGGAAUUCGUGGUGUAGCGGUGAAAUGCUUAGAUAUCACGAAGAACACCGAUUGCGAAGGCAGCUUACUAAACUGCCACUGACAUUGAUGCUCGAAAGUGUGGGUAUCAAACAGGAUUAGAUACCCUUGUAGUC
rnacentral:rRNA from 1 species